GACCCAUUGUACUACCCAUUGUAUCAUGUGUGCAGCCCAAGAUAUCAAGGGACAUGCUGACCUGGCGUCAUCCUCACCUUCCUCCCAGCCUUUUGCGCACAAACGCAAAAGACAAAUUUUAAAUUAUCAAUUUUGAAUUUUGAAUGAAUAUCUAAUUUCUUAGAGCCUGUUUAAGAACUUGCUUUCGAAACGAAAUUUCCACCCAGCACUUUCUUUGUAAUACAAAGAAAGUGCUGGGUAGCCGAAAUGAAGUUUUUAAACAGGCUCUUAAUGUUUUUAAUGUUUAAAAAUUAGAAAAUUAAAUCAUUAAAAAUUGAUUUAAAAUUGAAAAUUUGAAAUUAAAAAUUCCUUUUGUUUGUUUGUGAAUAAAAGGCUGGGAGGAAGGUGAGGAUGACGCCAGGUCAGCAUGUCCCUUGAUAUCUUGGGCUGCACACAUGAUACAAUGGGUAGUACAAUGGGUCGCGACAGGGUAACCUUGAGCUAAUCCUUAAAACUAUCCCCAGUUCGGAUUGAGGGCUGCAACUCGCCCUCAUGAAGUUGGAAUCGCUAGUAAUGGUGGGUCAGCCAUACCACCGUGAAUACGUUCUCGAGUCUUGUACUCACAAAUAACUGUGCUC
rnacentral:rRNA from 1 species